GUGCUCACUUCAGCAGCAUAUAUACUAAAAUUGGAACAAUACAGAGAAGAUUAGCAUGGCUCCUGCAAAAGGAUUACAUGCAAAUUUGUGAAGCAUUCCAUAUUUUU